UAACUGUCUCCACAAUAAUAUAUUUAAUUUAUUUAGUAAGUGAAAAUCCUUACAAAAAAAAUAUAAGACGAGAAGACCCUUUGAAUUUAAAUAAUAUAAUAAAUUUAAAUUAUUAAUUAUUUUUGUUGGGGCAACAAUUUAAUCAAUCUAAAUAUAAAUUAAUUAAAAUAAUAAUAAGCCGAGCAUAAUGCUAUCAUAGAAUAAAUUACCAUAGGGAUAACAGCAUAAUUUAUUUUAUUUAAUAAGAUUGUGACCUCGAUGUUGGACUAG
rnacentral:rRNA from 1 species